rnacentral:rRNA from 1 species
UAUCAGAUAUGUUCUCCAAAUUCAAAAAAAUUGGCGGUAAAUAAAUUAUUUAGAGGAACUUGUUCUAUAAUUGAUACUACACAAUACAUCCCUCCUAAUUUAAUAAUUUGUAUAUCGUCGUUUAAAACAUGUUUAAUGAAUAAAAAUUUUUUAAAAUUUAAUUAUCAUAAUUAAAUAUAAAUCAGAUUUAGAUGCAGUGAAUAAUUAGGUUUGAAAUGAGUUACAAUUUACUAUAUAAACAACAAAUUUAUAAUUAAAUAAAAUAAUGAAGGUGGAUUUAAUAGUAAUUAAUUAUUAAAAAGUAUUAAUGAAUAUAUUCUAAUUUAUGU